GACGAACGCUGGCGGCGUGCUUAACACAUGCAAGUCGAACGGAAAGGCCCUGCUUUUGUGGGGUGCUCGAGUGGCGAACGGGUGAGUAACACGUGAGUAACCUGCCCUUGACUUUGGGAUAACUUCAGGAAACUGGGGCUAAUACCGGAUAGGAGCUCCUGCUGCAUGGUGGGGGUUGGAAAGUUUCGGCGGUUGGGGAUGGACUCGCGGCUUAUCAGCUUGUUGGUGGGGUAGUGGCUUACCAAGGCUUUGACGGGUAGCCGGCCUGAGAGGGUGACCGGCCACAUUGGGACUGAGAUACGGCCCAGACUCCUACGGGAGGCAGCAGUGGGGAAUAUUGCACAAUGGGCGGAAGCCUGAUGCAGAAACGCCGCGUGCGGGAUGACGGCCUUCGGGUUGUAAACCGAUUUCGAAUGUGACGAAGAGUGAGUGACGGUAAUGGGUAAAGAAGCACCGGCUAACUACGUG
rnacentral:rRNA from 1 species